rnacentral:rRNA from 1 species
AUACGGAGGAUCCGAGCGUUAUCCGGAUUUAUUGGGUUUAAAGGGAGCGUAGGUGGACAGUUAAGUCAGUUGUGAAAGUUUGCGGCUCAACUGUAAAAUUGCAGUUGAUACUGGCUGUCUUGAGUACAGUAGAGGUGGGCGGAAUUCGUGGUGUAGCGGUGAAAUGCUUAGAUAUCACGAAGAACUCCGAUUGCGAAGGCAGCUCACUGGACUGCAACUGACACUGAUGCUCGAAAGUGUGGGUAUCAAACAGGAUUAGAUACCCUGGUAGUCCACACAGUAAACGAUGAAUACUCGCUGUUUGCGAUAUACAGUAAGCGGCCAAGCGAAAGCAUUAAGUAUUCCACCUGGGGAGUACGCCGGCAACGGUGAAACUCAAAUGAAUUGACGGGG